GUCCUUUUGAUAAUAAUUUAAGGUCUAACCUGCCCACUGAUUUAUAUUAAAUGGCCGCGGUAUUUUGACCGUGCAAAGGUAGCAUAAUCAUUAGUUUUUUAAUUGAAAACUGGAAUGAAUGGUUGAAUAAGAAAAAGACUGUCUCAAUUUAAUUUUAUUAGAAUUUUAUUUUUAAGUUAAAAAGCUUAAAUAUAAUUUAAAGACGAGAAGACCCUAUAGAGUUUAAUUUUAAUAAAGAUUAAGAAAAUAAGAUUUAAAGUUUUUGAUUUUUUUUAAAAUUUAGUUGGGGUGACUUAAAAAUUUGAAAAACUUUUAUGAGGAAAAACAUGAAUUAAUGAUAAAUUGAUCCAUUAAUAAUGAUUAAAAGAUUAAAUUACCUUAGGGAUAACAGCGUAAUUUUUUUAAAGAGUUCUUAUCGAAAAAAGAGAUUACGACCUCGAUGUUGGAUUAAAAUAAAUUAUUGGUGUAGAAGCUAAUAAAUUAAGUCUGUUCGACUUUUAAAAUUUUACA
rnacentral:rRNA from 1 species